GCGAAUAUAGUUCAGCUGGUAGAACGCCACCUUGCCAUGGUGGAGGUCGCGGGUCCGAAUCCCGUUGUUCGCU
rnacentral:tRNA from 3 species